rnacentral:lncRNA from 1 species
CUUGUAUUGUGCUUCCAAAUUCCCAUCUUUUUGAGGUAGCAUGGUGUAAUGAGCCAUGUGUAGCUGUGUAGGAAGAAGCAUCCCUGUCUGGUUUACCACUGUUAUCAAGGGAAUAAAGUAUCACUGCUGCCCAACAAGAAGUGUUCAGCACACAGACACAUAAAGAGACUUGAGCCACUGGAGCACAUUGAGGGAGAUUAGAGGACUGAGAGAUACAAUAGGAGGAAGGCGCAUGAUAUCGAGAAAAGAGAACCUGAGUCUUUGAAGUAAUCCCCUCUGACAACUCGUUUUGACACAGAGCUG